GAUGAACGCUGGCGGCGUGCCUAAUACAUGCAAGUCGAGCGAACAGAUGAGGAGCUUGCUCCUCUGACGUUAGCGGCGGACGGGUGAGUAACACGUGGAUAACCUACCUAUAAGACUGGGAUAACUUCGGGAAACCGGAGCUAAUACCGGAUAAUAUAUUGAACCGCAUGGUUCAAUAGUGAAGGACGGUUUUGCUGUCACUUAUAGAUGGGUCCGCGCCGCAUUAGCUAGUUGGUAAGGUAACGGCUUACCAAGGCAACGAUGCGUAGCCGACCUGAGAGGGUGAUCGGCCACACUGGAACUGAGACACGGUCCAGACUCCUACGGGAGGCAGCAGUAGGGAAUCUUCCGCAAUGGGCGAAAGCCUGACGGAGCAACGCCGCGUGAGUGAUGAAGGUCUUCGGAUCGUAAAACUCUGUUAUUAGGGAAGAACAAAUGUGUAAGUAACUAUGCACGUCUUGACGGUACCUAAUCAGAAAGCCACGGCUAACUACGUG
rnacentral:rRNA from 1 species